AUUGAACGCUGGCGGCAUGCUUUACACAUGCAAGUCGAACGGUAACAGGCCGCUAGGUGCUGACGAGUGGCGAACGGGUGGGUAAUGCAUCGGAACGUGCCCAGUCGUGGGGGAUAACUACUCGAAAGAGUAGCUAAUACCGCAUACGAUCUAUGGAUGAAAGCGGGGGACCGUAAGGCCUCGCGCGAUUGGAGCGGCCGCUGUCAGAUUAGGUAGUUGGUGGGGUAAAGGCUCACCAAGCCAACGAUCUGUAGCUGGUCUGAGAGGACGACCAGCCACACUGGGACUGAGACACGGCCCAGACUCCUACGGGAGGCAGCAGUGGGGAAUUUUGGACAAUGGGCGCAAGCCUGAUCCAGCAAUGCCGCGUGCAGGAAGAAGGCCUUCGGGUUGUAAACUGCUUUUGUACGGAACGAAACGGCUCUGGUUAAUACCCGGGGGUAAUGACGGUACCGUAAGAAUAAGCACCGGCUAACUACGUG
rnacentral:rRNA from 1 species